AUUGAACGCUGGCGGCAUGCUUUACACAUGCAAGCCGAACGGUAACAGGCCGCAAGGUGCUGACGAGUGGCGAACGGGUGAGUAAUGCAUCGGAACGUGCCCAGUCGUGGGGGAUAACGCAGCGAAAGCUGCGCUAAUACCGCAUACGAUCUAUGGAUGAAAGGGGGGGACCGUAAGGCCUCGCGCGAUUGGAGCGGCCGAUGUCAGAUUAGGUAGUUGGUGGGGUAAAGGCUCACCAAGCCAACGAUCUGUAGCUGGUCUGAGAGGACGACCAGCCACACUGGGACUGAGACACGGCCCAGACUCCUACGGGAGGCAGCAGUGGGGAAUUUUGGACAAUGGGCGCAAGCCUGAUCCAGCAAUGCCGCGUGCAGGAAGAAGGCCUUCGGGUUGUAAACUGCUUUUGUACGGAACGAAACGGCUCUGGUUAAUACCUGGGGCUAAUGACGGUACCGUAAGAAUAAGCACCGGCUAACUACGUGCCAGCCGCCGCUGUAAUAC
rnacentral:rRNA from 1 species